UGGGCAGCUCUUGCAUUUCCUGGUUGGGGCCACUGGAUGGCUCCUCCACUUCCUGGAGUAGAUCAGUGGGCAGCU
rnacentral:miRNA from 1 species